rnacentral:rRNA from 1 species
AGAAUCAACGCUGGCGGCGUGCCUAACACAUGCAAGUCGCACGAGAAAGGGACUUCGGUCCUGAGUACAGUGGCGCACGGGUGAGUAACACGUGAAUCAUCUACCUCCGAGUGGGGAAUAACUGAGAGAAAUCUUAGCUAAUACCGCAUAACACUUACGAGUCAAAGCAGCAAUGCGCUUGGAGAGGAGUUCGCGGCAGAUUAGUUAGUUGGCGGGGUAAUGGCCCACCAAGACGAUGAUCUGUAUCCGGCCUGAGAGGGCGCACGGACACACUGGAACUGAAACACGGUCCAGACUCCUACGGGAGGCAGCAGUGGGGAAUUUUGCGCAAUGGGGGAAACCCUGACGCAGCAACGCCGCGUGGAGGAUGAAAUCCCUUGGGAUGUAAACUCCUUUCGAUAGGGAAGAUAAUGACGGUACCUAUAGAAGAAGCCCCGGCUAACUUCGCGCCAGCAGCCGCGGUAA